AGUGCUUUUGUAACAACCUCAGCUGUGGGUGUGAAAACAGAUCUGUUGUUUGUGUCGGAUCGUUCAUAGAACUGUGAAUUAUCAGCGACACACGAACUCAUUUCAGCCACAGAUCGAAACAACCGAUAAACAUGGUCUGACUGAUCAUUAAAGCUAGCAUCUACGUGGUGAGGAAGAUCCAGGCCUCCAUUGCUGAUGGAGAGCAAAAGGAGAAACCCAAUGCUUCACCAUGUAGUGCUAUCGCUGAAAAGGGGGCGGGACAUGAGUCGCUAGAAAACAAACCAGCGGCGGCUCUGAUGUUGGGGCCUGAGGAAGACGUCCGUGGAGCAGCAGUCAUGGGCGUGUCCUCGGAGAAGGCUCUGCAGUCAUGUGGGUCCUGACAUUAAAGAUCAUGCUGGAAACUGGGACUGGGAUCAACUCACUUGAAAAUUGUAAUUUGUCAUCUUUGUAUAAAUGCAAUGCAAAACAAAGUUUCACUAUUAUGGCCGAUCACUUGUAUGUACAUAACCAUACGCUCACAUACAAAGCUCAUCAUCAUUGAUUUUCAAGCGGCCAUGCAGUGAUGAUUCCAAUCAAGUGUCUGUGCUGAACUCAGUGUCGAGAUCCUCAUGACUCACAUUUUGGCCUUUUUCACAGCAGACAUUUGGGCUCACCACAGCACGAAAAUACACAAAUAACCUUAUUGUAAUGUAAUGCAAACAUUGUUGUCGUUUAAUUCUAUUUGGUUAGUCCUCAUGUUGUCUGUGAGAAAGGCCUAUAUUUAUACUCUGCAGUGUUUGAAGGCCGACUCACCAACCUCUCUCCAGGGGCUGAGUAGGCCUGAUGUUGUUGCCGUUGUAUCAAUAAAUGGAUAAAAAGA